CUAGCCCUCAAAUCUUCACCGACAAAGGAAAUAUUGCAGUAUCUGUUAUUCCCCAUGCUCUAUUCGGAAUAUUCCGACAUCAUUUUUGCUCCCCGCUUGGUGGCCCUAGCCUAAGAGCGAUGAGCCCCUCCUUGCUAUAGGGGAAUCUGGUUUUGAAGAAAAGGUCUGUCUUUCCCCUCUUUCUCCCAACAAUUUAGAUGUAUUUUCAAUUGCAGUAAUCCUAGAGGAUUCUGCUAGAGAAUUCACAAUUAGAAACAAGUAUUUUGCUCAAAU
rnacentral:lncRNA from 1 species